AAGAGCAGAGACAGGAACAGCUGUUACGACUUUUGCCAGUGACACAGCACUGAUUCAAAGUCGAGUCAUCAAUCCAACCACCCCACUGACUGCUGUACAGAAUAGAAGGUGCUUACCAAAAAUCAAUUACAACCAAGGCUGAAAAUGUCAGCAAUUACAGAGGGAUAAGCAAGACCUGAAGCUGUAGCCUUGCCAUCAGAAGCAGCUCAUGCUAACCCACCAAGAAAGCCUGGUUUUGAGGCUCUAUUGCUUUCCCAAAAUUUCCAGCAUUUUCCUGUCACGAGAAGGAGUCCAACACACAAACUUUUCUGGUGUAUUUGGUAAAGAAGCUGUAGUUGUUUUAAACUUAACACCUAUCCUGAAGGUAAAAUUAGUAACAGGAGUGGUACUUACAACAAAACACUGCCCCACACCCCCUAAAUGGUUUAAUUCUUUCAUGUUGCAUGUACAGUAAUUCCCUUUAAUAGUCACCAGAUGGGCUUCAUCUGAGACACAUAAGCCUGCAGUUGUUGAACACAGAACAUUCAUUGGGUAGUGCUUCAAUAAAAGACACAGCUUAGCCUGACAUGUUAACAUUGCUUAUAGUCCAAAAGAGGAUAUUUUUAUAAAUUUCCUUAGCAACCCUGCUGGUUUGACCCACUUGACAAAUAUUUGCUCUUUGUAAGAGGUGAUAAUUUCAUACAAAAGAGAGUGUCCCUGGAAUGUCAGACUGAAAACACUGUUUGCCACAUGAUAACAGGAUGCACUUGCACAGGCCAACAGUCAGAAAAAAGAAGUGAUAAAGACUCCACCAGUGGGAAUGCUCCCAUAGCUGAAUUCCAACUGAAAUUCCUUCCCAAGGCUCUGAAAAGUUGAGAGUCUUUUUCCUGCAUCUGCCUUUUCAUUAAUUGCACAAGUUCUCCACACAGAUUGCAAUAGCAGCGCAGAAUAGCCUAUUCCCAGAAUAGCCUAUUAAUGGGUGUGAUAAUAAGUACCCUGCUCUUGCACAAGGACAAAAUGUUUUGCUAAGGAUUGCUGAUGCUGAGUUGCACCCAAAACCCACAAGAUGUUUGUGGGAUUUGGAACUGAUCCCUCAUAUUUCACUCCUGCUCCUAAUGUUUUGCUGGAUUGGACCCACAGGGGAUAAACUACAGAGCUCAUAUUUGCACUUCCUCAUGACUAAUUCCUAUUAUUCCAAAGUCUGCUUGAUUUUUCCUCAGCAUGACUGAGGCAGUACACACAGUCCAGCUCCUGAAUGACUCCAGAGCUGCUGUUGCAGUUACUCACGUUGAAUCCCACCCAUGAAUUUUGCAGCUUUGCUGGUGAAAAGAAAUGCUGCUCAAGCUGAGAACAGAGUGGUGAACUAGCUUGAAACUUAUUAAAGAGUUUAACUAAGAGGCUGGUUAAAUCAAUGGGUUUUAGACACACUCAGAUUCUGAUGAACUCCUACUGACCCAAAGUAAGGACCUUGAGAGCACUUAUUCUGAAAAAGUCAGAGAUAACAAAGAUAACAAAGAAGACAAUGAUAACACCCACCCCUUCACAUCUUCUGCAGUCAUCUGUGGCACAGAUCUUGGAGGUGAUGGUAUCCUCCCAUACUCCAAGGGAGCUGGCAAAACACCAUGAGAAAUCCUGCCUGACCAGGUGAUUCUAAAAAUUGCAAACUACCCUUAUGUUGUUCACCUUGUGAGAUUUCCAACCAUCUCUGUGGAUGGAGAGACAACCCCAAGACCUUUUGAAUGCUGGUCUGACACAAAUUGCAUUGCUGAAUAUUUUAAAAUGAAAAUCCACCCAUGAAGAGAGGCUGUGUGUGGUUGCUUUGAUAAGGUAGAAUUCACAAACACUGGGUGAGAAUCUGCCCCCACAUUCUGUCACAUUUUCCUACAUGGAGCCCUCACUCAGUGCAAAGGAGCUGAAAUGCCCAGACAAGUCAACAGACUUGUUGAAAUUCUGGGAUGGCCCUUGGAGAGGUUCUUUCUGACUCAGAGACCUAUCAAACCAAGUCAAAUUUAAAGAGGAGUUUCACUGCAACCUGCUUGUGAGCCAGGACACUACUUCAUGCAUAUUCAAAUGACAAAAACAGAUCUAUAAUUAGUGCUGGGAAAAAAAAUGUUUGGUGCAGGGCAAGCAGGGACAGUGGAGAGAGAGCACCCUCCUCCCAACUUGGAAGCCUGCUGUAGGCUCCUUCAAAAUCCCUUUCCUUCCGACAUUCAUGGUGACUCCUGAUGAAUUUUGAGACCUGGAGGAAUCAGAUAGUUUCCCAGUCACGUCAUGUGCUUCUCUGGGGCAGCCUGCACAAGCAGGGCUCCUGAUGGCACCAGAGUUGCCUCUGGAUCAGUCACAUGUUUGGGUCAGUGGUAAGCUUGGUCCUCCCAAAUGCCAUUUUCCUUUGACUGACCUUUCAUUCUGAGGAAUUGUUGGAUCAGUCCCUGUCACAGGAUCUAUGCGCAGACCUUUAUGACAUUUAGAAAAGGGUCCGUUUCUUAGAGCCAUUCUGCCUAAAAACAUUACUGCAGCUCUUCAUUAGCUCCUCCAGCAGCUUUCUCAGGAGCAGGAAUAAAACCCUCCCCUCACUCUUUUUUCCUGCUGUGAAUUUUGCCAGAUACAGCAUGCAUUACUCAGUAGUGUACAGCUCUAGGACAAAGAUGAUAAGGCCUUGCUUCUGCUGUAAGUAUUUCCAUUUUAUUACCCAUCAUCUUUGCAUUAAUAACUUUCUGCUCCAGCAGUACUCUCUGGAACCAGUGUUCUGAUGUAAAUAUCAAGCACGAUAGUAAUUAUUACAACACUGUAAUUUACUACUGUGUUUACAAAGAACCACAGUAUAAUUCAGCACCUUCACAUAUGCCAGAGGCUUCAGACACCCUGGCAAGCCAAUGGUAGCUGGACCUCCUGAAGCUGGGCUACAGCAGGAAUAAAAUAUUGAUAUCAUCACGCACGUCUGUCCCUCUUUCUCAUGUACAGGCAUUCAUUGGGUCUUAUUUCACUACAUAUCUGUAGAGCUCUGCCUGGGGACUGCAACAGUGACGGAUGAAUGCUUUUCCAGUCAAGACACACUUUGGCACAUCUCACCACUCUGCACCAUCAGAGGUAUCAGGGGAGGCAGCAGAGAGGGAUACAGUCUUCCCAAACCCCACCAGCUGCUAAUACAGACAGUCAGCGACUGCUACCUGGGCCCCAGGGAAAACAAAAGCAGAAGCUGUCCUCUGGCUUUUCCAUUAACAAGCACUCAAUCUACGUGACCAGACUGGAGCUGAUCCAGAAUAAACUCCCGAAGUGCCUUUAGUGUGAACAUCACCUCCUCAGCACCAAAUAUUUCACUGGAAAUAUUUCUUCCUGUUGUGCCAUUCUACAAUCUAGCUUAUACACACCUGUGCAUCACUUCCAGGAGGGGAAAAUACUUGAAUGCACUUUAAAAUAAAGUUUUCCCAAGGUUGAUUCAUUGAAAAUCUACAUUUAAACUCAAGAGACACCAAGUCUCCUGCAUAGGGAAACUAUCACUGAAUUCUUAUAGCAUUCCCAUCUGGUUUCUGCUCUUCAGACACUGAAGCACACACUAUCUGAUGUAAAAACACAAUAGACUCACUGGGACAGAGGCAAGUGCAGCUUUCUGCAGCCUGUCUGCAUCUGGGAGAGCUUCAAACAGACCCACUUCCUCUGCGCCUCUUCUGGUUGGCUCCCAAUGGGGUUAGUGCACUCUUACCUGGCUUUAUUUGUUUUACUACCAGGAGAGAGUGAAGACUUCUUGUUCUGUCAGACUUACUAUGUCCAGUUGCACCACCUAGGACUUCCAGAGGACUGUUCAGCUUCUAAAAUCAGAUAAAACCAGAUUUGCAUGUAAUCUGGUACAUCCAAAGUUUUGCUGCACCCCUUGCUGCUCAAAAGGUGCCUCAUAUCACGUGGAGGAAGGUAUUCCUCCUAUACCUCUACUGCACACCAGCAUGGCAUGUGUCAGGAUGAAUGGUAUUAGCAAACCAGCACCUAGCUGUGGGUACAGUCUGCCAAAAUUGAACCAUUGAAAACAAAUAUUUUAAAUAUAAAUCCAUUUAGAUUCCCCAAACUAUGGAUUUGGAAAUACUUCUCCUUUGCUGAAUAUCCCACAUUGCCUGCCUUUUAUCCCUGUGCAUCUGCAUCAGCAGCAAGACAGUACUAAUUAUUAUUUGAUACACAAGCAAAUACCAAGCCCCUGUUCUUAGCACAGUUUGUUGCUUUAUUUGAGCUGCCCAAACUUCAGCAGCUACAGAGGCACACGGGCGUUUUGCUGACACCGACUGCCCCGUGAUUCCAAGUGACGCCAUUCCGCUGGCGGGCUGCGCACUGGAAUGUAACAUCAUAUCCAGCAGGUAGAUAGAGCCACUGGAAUAUCAAUUAAUGUGCAAUCCUAUUACCUCAGUGUCUGGUAAUGUGCACUCCCAGCUACCCUCCUGCAAGCGGAAUGGGGAGAAACCUUGAGAGCACAGGCACUAUCUAGGAAAAGCUGUGCAUGGAGAAAUAUUGUCUCGAGCGCGGAGCGGCCCCGCAUCCCAUCACGCACGUGCGGGUACCGGCACACACACGGCGCAUCAGCUGUCAGCAGGAAUUCCUGCCUGCACACUCAAGUGCUGCCACAGCCUGUCUGCCCAGCCUCCCCAGCCGAUGCACAUCUGAGCAGCUUGUCCACUUGCAUAAGCGUUUCUGGGCUUCCCCGCUCACAGAAAUAGGUUUUGCUGUUGAAGUGGCUUGAACUUGUUCUUGAGGGAAGCCACGUCAGGAAUCACUCCGUGCUGCUCGCUGGCAUUUCUGAGCAAGGAGUCAAGAGGUCAAAACCCAAGGUCAGAGAACAGCAGACAUGCAGGAUCCCUUGUUGUACCUGAGGCUGGAGAAAUCAGCACAUUCCUAAUCAGCCGCUAAUUCCCUAAUCUUUAUUGCAUGUAAAUUCCAACCCCUUCCCAAUGUCUGUGCCAUGGUAUUCUCCAAUCUGAUUAUGGUGAAACCCCAUUGGAAGAUUCAUCGAUAAAAGAUGGAAAUGUGUAAAAUUGAUUUGCUGUAUAUCACAAACAGCGCCGCAAACCCCUCCGGGGAUCAAAGAACUACCAUCAAAUAGCAACAAACAGCGGGCUGUUAAAAACACUUCUUAUCUAAUAGUGGAUGUGACUGUUUAACAAAAGACAAAAUUCACUUCCGAAGGGAGAACAGUGCUGCAUUGUUUGACUGACAGUAAAGGAUCAGUUCAUGACUAAGGCAGAACAGGCAGUGCAAGAAAGGUCGUCAUUUAAGGCCAAUCUGUAAAAGUGUGAGGGCGGAAGACAAGAGGGUCUAGAUGCACUCUGACUCACAAUUUACUCCACCAACAAUUUCAACUUUACUUCCAGAAGGUACAGCAGAAGCGCUAUAGGCAUGGAACAACUGGUCAAUUAUUUUUGGUCUAUUAUUUUGUCAUUUAGCAUUUCUCCUGAUAUGAAGCAAUUAUCAUUGGCAGGGCUGAGCAAAACACUUCAGCUUUUGGUCCUGGGCUCAGUCAAGCUUUGCCUGAAAUGGCUCCACCAAGAGAGUUCAGAGCUUUGGCCCACUGAGAACAGCCUGGACACCAUUACUACAAGUACAGUGGUUUUUGGCAUUGAGAACAAUGAAAAUUUGAUAAUGUUACUAAAAAAUAAAAUACCUUUGCAGGAUCUAACUCUCCUAUGUCACUUUCCUAUGGUGAAUAUAAGGGAAACAAACCCUCCUUCAUGUAAUUCACCAGAAGACAGAGAAAAAUACUAAAUUAGAAGAAAGCAGAGGCCAAUCCAACUCCUGUGUUUCAUCCACUGAGGGGAGUUUGCCAGAACUCACAAUUUUAAUUUUUAAAUCUUGUGAUAUUAGGUGUUUGUUUCUUACUGUCUCUUUUUGGAGGGCAUGAUCCUGAAGGAGAAUCUCCUGUUUAUUUAAACAUGAAAGAAAAUUUGUGACCUUUGUGAUUGUGGGGAGUCACUAAAUGCUCCAAAACCAGGAAACAAAUAAAUAAAAUCUAAUUUGUUGUAAUAUUCAAGCCAAAGUACUGGUUUUUGUGGGGUUUGAUCAAGGAGUGUUGAACACACGGGAUCAGUAACGUGAGCGAUUCCCACGGAUGUGUGCCAUGUGAUUUUUUUAAGCACCUUUGUGACAUGCAUUAACAAAAGGCAGCACUGGCUGUGGGAUUCAAUAGCUGUAGGAUCUGAAACAGCUUAUGCUCCAUUCACCAUACAGGAGAUUAUAAGCAGGUGUCUCUCCCAGAGAAACUGGCACAUUACAAUCAACAGGAAGCUGGCUCAUAUUCCCAGAUGUUUGACAUUAUGGGAAGCAGGGAGAUGUUAGGGUCAAUAAAACCACACUGCUACUCUUGCAGCACCUACAGUCCAAGAGGGACUUCAGUAGCUCAGCUCUGCCAUUGAUAAAAGUUUUACAAGACCUCUGCUCCAAACAGCCCUGAAAUCAAAGGUCUGUUUACUUAGCCUUUGCUUGCUGGGCUUUAGGAUAGUGCAAGGAAGAUCAAAGCAAGGACCUCGUUUAACAUGUCCAAGUACACAACCAGCAAGUCUGUUUAUGUUGGAUUCCUACACACUGAGAGUGCUGCUGUCUGUCAGCACUUCAGGCUCAUUUUCAGCAAUAUUGGGUGAGGAGAGAAAUAUUCAGAAAGACCCCACAGAUUUUGGUCCUGCUGAAACAGAAGCGAAAGUCAGAGCGGGGAGCUCUGCUUGUAACUGUGACUGCCAAAGUCAAACAAAAACUCCUUGCAGGACCUCUGGUCUCUACUGAAGGGCUCCACCAUUAAAAUGCAGCUGAAGUCUGCAUGAAGAGCUGGAAAGGAAUUUUGGUUCUGUAUAAUUUGGUUCUGUACUAUUUGGUUCCAUAUUAUUUUUUUAUUGAUAAUGCAUAAUGAGAUUCAGUUUGGCACUGGUAAGGGACGACACGCUGAGCACCUCAUGCACAGAAAGAGGUGCAACAGCCACCAGCAAUUCACAUCUCCCACUGGUACCUGUACAGCCCCACACUGGGGAUGGGGCAGUUUGCAAUGACAGGCAAUUUAUUAACAAAGCUUAAUUUCCAAUGACCCUACAUUCUAUGGAGCCAUUUGCCAGGGCCUAUUAAGGGGAAAGAAUCUGAUGACAUCUUCAUUUAUUUAUUUGCUUGUUUGUCGCUUUAAUGUCUCUCUACUUAGAAAAUUCAUCUAUAUAUUUAGAAAGGGCUGAAGACUUGCAAUGGCCUUUGUUCCAAGAGUGGUGGCAGUGGGAUGCAGCACAAUUAGAAUCCCUUCUACAUGACUUCCCAUUUUCACAAAGUUUGAACUUAGUAUCUCUUACAUCACUCCUUCUCAAACAAUGUGUGUGAAAUUGGCUUAUAGGCUUAAAAGCUACUGGAAGGGAUGGAGAUGGAUUGAACCUCAAAAAAUGUCACCACAUGAAUUUCAUCUCUUUAGGACACCAACGUAAUGACCAACCAGACAAGGAUAGGUAUGGAAAGUGAGCUCAGACAGAAGGAGACAGCUGGUAUUUAACUUUGGAAGUAAGGCUCUUUCUUUGAAAGAUUUAUCUGAGGAUUUAACCCCCAUCUGGUAUCACAGCAGAACCUCCACCAGAAAAUCAAAUACCAAACAUUGGGAUGGAUCCACUUUAUGCUCAUUCCUUUUACUUCUCUCAGUGUUCUGUUAAAGUUUCCUAGGAAAACCCUUUCAUGUUCUGAGCAAUGUUGCUCAAAAUAAAUAGAAACCUGGGACCUGCAAAAGGCCAGUGUAAGGAAACUAAAUCUCCCAACAGACAGCUUGCUCUGGAGCUGCUUCCUGCAGAUGCACUGCAUCUCCCUCUGAAAUACCCAAAAAGGCAGAGACAAGGCACUGGACAAGGCACCUGAUACUGGCCCAUAGGUGAGCCCAACAGAAACAAAUUAAUACCUGCUGCUCUUUCCCCUGGCUUCAGAGAGGAGUAAAACUUUCUAAGUUAAAAAGUUGUAAGGACCAUGUGGAGAAAAUCUCACAAACUGUGGGCUGGAGGAGCCCCAUUAGGUCUCGUUCCCUUCCAUCUCUCUGGACUUUCUGCAGAAAUGGCCCUUUAAAACAGAGACAAAUUUCUUAGGUCCCUGAUAGUCAGAGAGCAAGGGUCACACAAGGUACCAAAGUGCCACAAAUUGCGCAAUUGCACAAAGCUGGGGACACUUUCCUCUCUUGAGGUGCUGUGACGACACACACCAGAUUGCAAGGCACCCUGUGAUCACAGGCAGAUGGGAACCUAGAUGGGUAUGCAGCUCUUAAGACUCACCAAAGAAUCUUCUUCGUUUUCCAGGGGAGAUACUUUCCCUAAGGAGUCAAUACAGCCAGCUUUGCUCCACCUCCUUCCACUGCCUCUGGUCAAAAUCCUCAUCUACGCUCCUAAACUGCUCCCUCCCCCUCCUCCUGGCUCCAGUAUCCAAUACCUUCAUACACUUGCAGACAGUUAUUGUCCCCUCAGGUGUCACUUAGCCAAGCUAUUCAUAUAUUUACAAGCAGCUCUUUUAAUCUUCUCACAUAAAUCAGUCCCCCCAGUUGUCUGAUCCGAUCAUCUGGGCCUGUCUCUCUCAGUCCGGACGAAAACCUUGCCUGUCUCCCUGACAUCUCCUGGAUGUCAAGCUGUCAGCUCAAGCUCAGAGCUCUUAAUCUUCCUCCCCCUCCCCACCUCCUUCCUUAAUUGCUGUGGACACUGCUACUGUCCUGCCUGUCGCUCAGGCCCACAGCCCUGGUGUUAUUUUUUGCUUUGCUCUCCCUGUAGCUCUCCCCAUCCUGGCUCAGACCCUGAGCCAAAGUCUUUCUGCAGCUCCUUGAUAAGCCCAGCCCUGGCUGCCCAUCCACUCACUUGGAGUUUGCAUCCAGACUCCCAUCAUAUUUCAUCAAGACUCCUCUACUCAAGCCUUGGCAAAGCACACUCUUGCCUCAUCCAUAUUAAUUUUUUUCUAGGCACUGCUCUGGCCACUUCUCCCUCUCCUCACAUCCACCUUUCCUAUUCCCUGCCACAUCAAACAGCUGCUACUUUUCUUCACUUGUCAAGGCUCCUCCUGGCCUCUUCCCAAUCACUGUUCUACCACCUCUUCCUUACCAGAAGUCCACCCUCUUCCAGCUGUGCCAGAUGUCGAGGCUCUCCCCUGCUUUUUUACAUUUUUCAAAGAAAAUCAUAGGUGUUUCCUGCCUUGCAUGGGAGCAUUGGCUGAGGCAUUGGCUCUCUCCCUGCACAUGCCCCCUAAAGCUUUCCUGCACCAGGAACCCACCAUCACUGGUCAGCAGCCAAGCCUGGCAUCCUGCUGGUCCUUAUGGCCAACACCAUCAAACAGUUUAAAACUAAAAGAAGAGAUUUAGAUCAGAUGAGUGGAAGAAAUUCUUUACUCAGCAUACAUUGGAACAGGUUGCCCUGUUAAGCUGUGGCUGUUGCAUCCCUGGAAGUGUUCAAGGCCAGGCUGGUUGGGGCUUGGAGCAACCUGGGAUAGUGGAAGGUGUCUCUGCCCGUGGCAGGGAGGUUGGAAAUUGAUCUUUAAGGUUCCUUCUAACCCAAGCCACUCUAUGAUUGUAAGAUUUUCUGAUCUCACUGCUGCUUUGCUCCACCCAUCUUCCUGCCAUCCUCCUUCAUCUCAGACCCCCAGGGAGCUCUUAAGGCACAGCCUUCUUGUGUCCACACAACACCUUGCACAGUGAGGUGAAGGCCCUGAGCACAGCAGUGACACACACAAAUCAUGCUAAUCACAACAGCUUCACUAGCACCUCUCUGCUGAUUAUCCUCAUUUCUGCAUCCACAGCAUUAACGUAUAAUUGCAUUUUAACAAGCUUCAUUAGCACAUUGCCUUGGUAAAGCUUAACACAGCCCAAGCACCCAAGGAAACCUCAUGGUGCUUUUCUGCUCAAUAUAAUUUUCAAGUCUUCUGUAGCCUGAUUAGUUAGGAAUAACCUCAGGGCUGUAAAGCUUUUCUUCUGCCAUCCAGUAAUUAAGGAAUAAUUUGUCACGGAGCAAGUCAAGCUGCAGGGCAGGAAGGCCCCGUGCAACACAAUGAAGCUGUGUAAACCAAAGCCCUGGGUACAGGAACAAAGCAAGCAUCCCUCCUCUCCUUCUUCGUUAGCCAGGAGCUGGUGCUCAGCUCCUGUAAAUGCUGCCCAGACCCCUCAGUAAUGCAGCUCCUGCUGCAGGCAGAGAAGUGCCUGUGUGCACCCUGCCUGCACACACUGGCUGUGGCUCUGCCCCCCCUGUACUUUUUCUGGACAUGGUGCAGAAAGGUAAACAGCCCCUUGCCAAAUCGUACUGUUGGCAUGAGCUGCAUGAUGGAACAGGAUUAAGAAAUGGGCUGCAAAGGUUUUUUAAGAAAGUUUUAUGAAGCUCCAAAGGAUAACUGAAACACCAUAUUUUUUAAAAAAGUAACCAGCCUGGGAAGAAAAAAGUGAGUAACUCAGGAACACAACAGAUUGAGCACAGGUAAUACAUCUAUUGAGUACGAUGGGUAUUUCUGUCUGGGUAAACCUUUUCCAGCCUUAAUACUUUUUCCAGUUAUCUCAGUCACAUAAAAGUCAAACACUUUCCCAAGCAUUCCUGGAAAGAUGCUUCCUGUUUUGGUGAGGGAGGGAGGGUAUUUUUAAGUAAAAAAAAUGAUCUGACAAUGCUGACUGUGUAUGAAUCCCAGUCACAAAACCAGAAGUAGUUUUGCAGAUGGAGGUUGUUACCUGAUUUUUUUUUCCUUAACUUCCACAGUAACCAGAUUAAGGAACUGCUGGCAAACCUCAGUUGCAUUUCCAAAACCAUAUGUAGGAACGGUAUGGCAGGAAUAGAAAGCUAUAGAAUAUCAACUGCUACAUGGCCCCAGACAGCUGUCUCUGAAAGCAGAAAACAUGGGGUUAAUGGUUCUUUUAUACUUUUCUUUUAGUACUUGCAGACAACUGAGGACUGGUAUGGAGAUCACUGAUCAUUGCUGGAAAUUCUCCAUGCAAAGAGACACGCUGAUCUUGUGAAGUGUCAGCAACACUCAAUUCCCAUAAUUUUAAGGGAGAUCAAAGUUGUCAAGCAUUUUGUAGGGUAAUCUAAAUCUGUGGACAGAUAGGCUCCCAUCUCACUAUAAAACAGCUUGUCCUCCAGCAAACCCCUCUCACACCUUUAUUUAUCCAUGCUUUGCAAUUUUCCAGCUUAAGCACAUAAAGAAGAAAAAAAACCCAGUUGUCAACUAUCUGAUACUACAAUAGUUGAUUCUUAAGGAAUAUAUAUUUCUCACAUCCUACCACCAUCAUUUUAAUGUUCAGAGGUAAAGGAAAAACUUCACCCAUCCCCACCUUCUUCCCCCUUAACCAGACAAAUAAGGCAUUCAGCUUGUCUGAAUUUAAAUUUUUAUUGGAGUUGAUCCAGCAACCAGAGCACAUUGCUAGGAGCCAAGGUCCCGCUUCCUUCAAUACACCUCCUUCAUUCUGACUCCCUGCUUUUGUACAGCUUUGGUAAUCUCAAUCUGUGGUCAGGGAUAGGAUAAAAUUUCAGCUAUUUCCCCCCUCAACUGCGCAGAACAGGGCUUGCUCUUAAAUCAAAAGCCCUGCACCCUAAACCUCUGGUUAAGUACUUAACUGUACGCAAGUCUUUGAAAUCAUCACAGGCUUCUUUUUUUCUUUUUCUUAGAUAUAGUGCUGAAAACUACAGAAGUGAACUAAGAUCUCAGGAAUACCAAAAGUAUUCAGAGGAAACUUGGGGAAGGGGGCUCAUAGGGUGGCUCCCCCACUGCUUUUUUGGCCUGAUCUUCUGAAAUAGAUGGCAUUACCAGUCCCCAUCAAAAAUGUAAAACUUCCUCCCUUUUUCUCUAGAGCAUGAGAAAAUAUUGUAAACUUUUCUGGAAGCAUUAGGAGGAGACAGCUCCUGCAAUCCAAGCAGAAGUCACUUUUCUGUCAUUGCCUUGGUAAAUGACCUCCACCCACCUUCCUGCACAGGAUGGUGUGGCCUCCCAUCUACCUUCUGCUGAUGUUUAGAUUUCCCUCUCUCGGUACUUCUCCUUUUUUCCUCUCAUUCCCUCUUCUCCCUACAAAUAGUAAUUCAAAAACCAUGAUCACCCCUUUGCUUGGCUUCAGGUCUCUUGCAUAGGCUAAAGUUACCUCCAGUUCUCCAGCAUGGUUUGGGGAAUUUAUUUAUAUUCCAUGUUCUGGAGAUAGACCCCAUGUCUUGCCAAGGGCUCUCAUGGGUUUUACAAAAGGAACACUGACAAAUAUUUAUGGAACCUAAAGUGAAAUUCAAGACACUGUUAAAAUAAAGUUUGCUUUAGGUUUUUUUGGUUUUUUUUUAAUUCUCCUGAAGAAUUGACCUGGCUUUCUUGGCAAAAAGACUAAUCCAAAUGCUAUUGGUAUCUUAACAGCUCAUAAGAACCACAUGCUUCAAAUAAAGCCAUUACUAUCAGACAUGCUGAGUGGUUCAAUUAAACAAAUAUGAAAAUAGACACUUCAUCCUGCUUUAACUAAGUGGGAUCAUUUCACUCCUGAAUCCAGAAUGACAAUGAAAAUGAUAUAGUAUUUACAGAGCAGCUUUUUAUCCUGUAAGAUCCCAAAGGUUUGCACAGACCCUGCUUCACACACUACUGAGAUGCUGCCCCUUCCAGGGAGGAACACUCGAGCUGUCCCACUGCCCUGAGGAAUGGCACAUGGCAAUUCAGACAGAGGAGCAGAAAAGAAUUCCACAUUCAGCUGAAGCUAUAGAAAGGAAUUUAAGCGCACAGAAUAGAGAUUGUUUAGGCUGGAGCACAUCCAGCACAGAGGAGGUAUAGUGAUCUGGUGUUUCAAAUACAGAAGUUAAGGCAAAACAAUAAAAAAGUGCUGGUUCAAACUAUCCAAAACCCAAAAUUUAGGGAAGAAGGGGAAACACCAUCUUGAAGAUGAACAAUUUAAUUCCUUACACUUCAGUUGUGCAUGGAAAAUUUUCUAGAUGUUCCUUCUCACCAUUCCCUUCAGGAAUAAAAGAACCAGGAGUAAUAAUACUUCGCAUAGCUGCCUGUUCACAUAAGGAUGACACAGGAUAUAUUAUGAAUUAAAGGCUUCAAAAAGCUUUGUCUAGUGGUCUCACACAUACCAGAGACAGGAAAAUACCAGGUUCAUCUACAUAACACAUCGACUGCUGCCAGGAUCCCUGCUGGCAUCUCUGCCUCAUUUCACAUUAGCUGCACUGCACAUAUAAGGCAGCCUUUGGGGAGAGAGACUUGCCCAAGGCUGCCCUGUGAGUCUGUAGCAGCAGCAUCAGGAAUCCACUUUUGACUCCCAGUGCUCUACUGUGACAAGCAGGUGAUGCCUACCCACUCCAGGACAAAUCCCCUCCUGUGAAACCAUGGCCUUGCAUGAGGAGCUCAGCAGGCUCCAGAGUACUAUGUCAAAAGAUGCUCAAAGAUUUUCCAGUAAAAUUUUCUUUUGUGAAAGACAGAAAGGGAAACCAUUGAUUUAUGGAGCAGCAGCACAGCAGGUCAUGGUAAUAAAACUGGGAAAAUCCAUCUCUUUAAGAAGUUAGGGACGUGGUGACAUGACAUGAAGUCAUGGGGGCACACACCAAAUGUCAGCUGCAGCUCUAAGGGUUACAGCAAGGACUGGAACCGACUCAGCGUCAGGAGUUCAGCCUGUGGAUGUGCUCAUGAUGACACAUCUGCAAAGAAUGACAGUCACAGAACAAUCUGGGUUGGAAAAGACCUUUAAGAUCAGGUUCAACCAUUAAACCAGCACUGUCAAGUCCACCACUAAAAACACGUGCCUACAUGCCUCAUCUGCACAUCUUUUAAAUCUACUCAGGUACAGCAAAGAGAAGCAGCCUUGACAAUAUUACUUCAAAUAUCCCCCCAGUACAGGAGUAUGAAAGAAAUACAACUGUGCCAUGAGAGGUUUUACCUGGCACACAGACUAGCACUAGCAUGAGCCUCUCUGCAGAACAAUUAGCAGAAAGCACCAAUCUUAUAAAGCUUCUUUCUUUUUUCCAGUUCAUUUAGCCUGAAGUAGAGCAAUCAAGAUUCUUCUGGCAGGAUAUCACAUUCUCAAUCUGUAACCACUUAAAGGAAGAGGACAACUAUUGCAGAGAGAUGUCCCAGGAGAAGAAAUCAUUGUACAAGUGAAAGGGAUUUCUUUGGACUGACUUUCAAAAUAAUGUGAAGCUGUCUUUUCUCUUUUCCUUUCUUUUCCUUUCUUUUCUUUUCCUUUCAUUUCUUUGCUUUUCUUUUAUCUUUUAUUUUUUCUUCUCUUAUCUUUUAAUCACUUCCCCCCCACCCAGUACUGUACUGCAAACCUUUCUUUUUCUAGUCAGCAGUUGUUCACAAACCUAAUCUUCUGUGGUUUCAAUAAAAUAAGUAAGGCAGAUAAUCAUGUACUGUGAGAAGGAAGGGGGUGACUCCAUGGCCAUACAAUCUCCAGGCACUUUUUUUCCCAGAGGGAAGUGGAAAGAGCAAAAUGAAAAUACUCAGACUUAAGAGAUGAGAAAAGGAGGAAGAUGUGGCAUGCUGUGUAAAGAAGACUUCCAGUGGCUCUACAAACUGCCAAGAGCUAAGUCUAUUCUCUUAUUUGUAUGUAUUUUAGGGUGCUUUCAGCACCCACAGAACUCACAUCACUGACAGCAGAGGGGAAAGUGCAUCUGUACAGAGAUUGUGCAUUUCCUGGCAUGACAGGGAUUGUGUCCUCAGGUAUGACAGAGGAGGAGGAUACAGAGUUCAGCCCUGUCUGGCUUAAGGGUUGCACAACACACAGGACAGCAGAACUCCAGACCCACAUGGCAUUGCAGAAAAAGGCUGUGGGAUAAAUCAUGGCUAAACAGGUAAGGAAAAUAGGUGCCAGCUCUGGUUUGGGAGGUGCAUUGGACUGAGGCCACCAGCGCUGCUGCUGUUUUGGAACAAGAAACCCUCUAUUUUCACCCUUGAGCAAGAGCCAGGUUGGACCAAAGGGCAGCAGUCUGACCUGGAAGGAACUUUGUGCAGCAGCCUUGAGGCAAAGCAGCCCACACAAGCCACGGGACCCAGGAUUUCAUACAGAAGUGACUCUGUCCCUCUGCUCCUGUGCGAACACGCUGCUCAUGGUGAGUAAGCCUGUGUCAUCCUGCAAGCCCAGGGUGUUAGGAACACACCCAGCUCCAAAACCCAGUGGAUGGUGAACAUUUGCAAUGCCAAAACUGCAGCACAGGGCUGUGCACAAAACCACCUGCCUGCAGGACACGGUGGAGAUGUGGUGGUAAGGGCUUCUGCACAGAUGAGCAGCUAGAAUGUGUGCCUUGGAGAACCUCUGGCUGGUGUUCAAGGAAAGAAACCAAGCCUGGCAGAGAGUGUACCUUCUCUCUCCCACCCUCCCAGCACCUUUAGGAAGGUACACUGUGCUCUGGCUGCUGCUGAUGCACCUCUGCUGAUACAGCCCUGCUGCUGCCUGCACAGGCUGAGUGCUCCUGCUGAUCUCCCCACUCAACUCCUCUGACCCUGGAAAUCCCAGCAAGCCAUCCAGGCUGUGCUACAAUAGAGUGACUGGUGCUGGAAAUGAAGGCAAAGUGGAAAGGGCAGAGGCAAAAAAGGAUGUUUAAACAAUGCAACAAAUGAGUGAAGAUUCUCAAAAUUAUUUAAAAUCCACUUUUAUAAUUAAAAAAUAUGAUUGCAAAGCUUAGCAUCUUGCAAUCAGUUCCUCUGCAUAUGUAUAUACACACACAUGAACAGCAUGUAAAAAUGCUGCAUUUUAUCACAUCCCUUUGCAGAUCAGGACAUGACAUCAACCUACACACAAAAAAUCCACGUGUGUGUAUUGCCAUAUAUUUCACGAAAGUAGAGCUUUAGCACUGAAAUUUUCAGUAUUACUGAAAUGUGUGAUGUUACUCCACAACCACGAGGGCUCCCUCUCUGUAUCAUGAAAUACAUGGCUAUUUUAGCACAUGCAGAGCCUACUUUCUGCAACAGCAUGACAUCACCAGCCCCACAUUCAGAAAAUAAUCACGGCCUUGUCUGCCCUGCAAAAACUGACCCCAUAAUUCAAAAAAAACCAGUGCAGUUCAGCCAGUAGCAGCAAGAGCAGUGCUCUAAUGCAAUACUGGACUCAGCUGUUUUCAGUGUUGGAUCAUCUCAUCCUGUUCAGAAUGGUGUAAGAAAAACCAUGUGGAAAAGCUCCCACACCCCAAAAACCCCUUGCCAUAGUCUAAUUGCAGCAGCCAUGAAUAAAGUGAGGAGAAAAUGGUUUCAUAGUCCUUGGAUAUUUUUGUGAAAUGUCAAAAGAAAAAUUCUAUUACAAAGAGGACUAACAAAAAAUAAUGAAAGAACCUCAGCAUUUUCUUAAAACUUUAAUCUGUGAACAUUUUUCUAUCUGGUCAGUUUUUCUAGCAGCAGUUUGGGAGUGUUUCAUUUCAAUCCUGGCAGCUGCUAUUCAUUUUUUAUCUUUUCAAGCUUUUUCGUAAAAAAGUAACCUAAAUUGUAGAUCAAACCCAAACUAUGCCAAAUCAGACAGUCUUACAUUUCAUUUGAAGAAAGUAAAUGGCAAUCACAACCUCCCUGGGAGACAAUUUUAUUCCUACCAUUCUUUAUUUGUACAACAAUUAGCCUUUUUCUGAUCCAAGAUAAAGUCCCCCAGGCACAGUUGUGAAACAUGAUAAUAGCCGAGUGCUGGGUUUUUUUAAAUGAACCUGAUGAAUGACCAAAAUCAAUCAUUCCCUCAAAAUUUUAGCUAUGAUGAGCUGGCAUCUUGCACCCUGGAAGUGUUACCUCCAAAAAUCCUCAGCUAGACCCAAGGGUGAUAUAGGAGCAUCCUCAACUUCCAUGUCUCACAGCAGUUCAUGGGUGUUAUGUCAUUCCAUGGUGCCUCUGCAGCUGUGCACUGGAACAGCCACUAGCUGCUCUUCUUAAACACAGAAUAUGUAAGAUUUCAUGCACAUCAGACUUUAAAAAGCACAAAUAACCCCUUCUCCUACAUGAUAAUGUCAACGAGAAAGGAAAUUACCAGAAUUCUUUCAUGCCCAGAGCCAGUGAGCUGUAACACAGGGCAGCACAGCAGCUCCCCACAUCAGCCAGCGAGGAAAAAACACACUGAGACCUCGUGCCAGAUGCAUCUUCUCAUUCCACUGGCAUGCAGGGAUGGAUGAACAUGUCAGUAAUACACCUCUUCCCUCUGGUAAGGCCCUAUCCCUCAAUUCCCUUCCAGGGAAAGUGAAACCACAGCAAAGUGACCUCCCUUGUGAGGCACCUGGGAGGCUGCCCUGUGCAGAGUUAUCUGUGUGGCCGCUAAGAUCUUCCAUUCCUCUGCACAGAUUGCUUCUGGCAUCCAGACUGAAGUAGAGAGAGAAGCACUUGUUCCUGGAAUUCCCUAAAUUUCAUUACCAACCACCAAGGGCUUAGCCAGGGCCAAGCUCUGUGGCUGCUGCACAGCCACACUUUUAUUUUGGGGUGAUAAAGGACCAUUCACUACUGCCAGGGAGCCUUGAGGGGUGGGAUGUGGGUGAGCGGGUGCCUCCACAAACCAGACACUGAACCAGACUCAUGCAAACAGCUGAGACACGCAGUGCCACAGCACUUGUCCUGCUCCUGCAGUGCUUAACCUAUGUCAGCUGCUGCCGGAGCCAUCUCCUCCAAGACCUGGCAGUGGCAGAUGCACAAUUCAGUCUGGGGAGGCAUGGGACCUGCUCUCCCUUCCCACCUCGCUUCCACAUAUGUCCACCUUCCUGCUGCUGGAUUAUGUCAGCUCAAAACUUUCUCUGGGGAGGAGGUACAACAGCUGGUUCUCUCCAAACCAUCUCACCCAAUUAAAGAAAACUCUGCAAUCAAUGCUUGCAUGCUUUUAUUGUUGAUGGGGGCACAGGGCAGAGGAGGAGCAGCCUCACCCUCCCUCGGCUGUGCUGACUAAAAAAUUCCUGAAAAAAGGCAACUGAACAAGAAGGUGACACUUGUAGCCCUUAGUUUACAAGAACAGAGACAAACUGGUAAUAUUAGGGCUUACAAAAAACCAUCCAAGAUGCCAACUGUGCUCUGUUCACCCUGAGUUAAUAGUAUCAGUAUGUUUUCAUGUAGUCACAGCUUCUGGAGUCAUGGGAUAACACAAAAGGAUGAACCUUAAGGAAUUUUUUCAGCUGUUGUGGUGACAAGCUUGUGGAAAGGAAAAUUUGAAUGCUUAGCCAGAAAACAAGUAACCAGUGCCUAAAUGUGAAUUUUUAAAUACUUUAAUAUCCUCUUGAGUAUUGGAGACUGAGUCACGGUUCUGGGAAGGGUAACAUUACAGCUUUAUGGUCUGCUGCAAGACUUGGCUAGGAUGAAAUCAGGUUUUCUGUAAUAAUUUGGAGCCUCUAUUCCCCCUGUGGAGGGGAUGGUCCUCAGCAAGUAGCAGAAGAUGCCUGCCUAUUAAAUGCACAUUAAAUUAAUAGAAUUAACUGCUUCACAGUCUUCACAGAUCAGGACAAGACAAUUUAAAUGCCUGUGCAGAUUUAGGCAUCUAUUAUUAAACACUUGAGUUUGAAGGCUUGGCCCCAACUCCUUAAUGUUAUUUCUUCCAUAUCACUUAGGUCUAAAUUUAAAUCUCUAUCUCAACCACAGUGUCCCAAAAUUAUUCUAGUGCCUGUAAAGUAGCCUGAAAUUGAAUGAGAUGAGCAGUGGAAGAAGGAUUUUGCACCAGGGGCAUAACAUGGUAAUAUCAGAAGAGCAAUUCUGAACAAUUCUUAGGCAAUCCCAAGCAAGACACAGCCCCUGCAGUAUGAAUCUGAGAUCAACAAAUCAGCACUUGGGCAGGUCAGGGCUUUAGUGGCUAAAGCUGCACAGAUCACUUGAAGACAAUAUGUCAACUGUACUUUUCACUGUCUCCUGACCCUCCACCCUCUCUUCUCCUCCCAAAACAUAAGCAAGCAACACUUCUGGAGGAACUCAGAAAAUAAUUUUCUGAUCUUCACAAAGCAAAGUAUGACAUGCUGAGGACAUGGCAGGGAUUCCCCUUCCUCCCUGAGCCACUUCACCCACAGAUCUGCACAGCCCAGGCUCCAGUGGCUCCAAGUGAAGUGUUCUCUGUACUAUUGUUCACUGUAAGAGUCAGCUCAGCAACCCUCAUGCCCAUCAGCUUUUUACCAGGACCCUACACCUUUGGAUAGACCCCCCUAUCACCAUCCCACACAAAAGCCCCCCUUCUCUUGGAACAGAACCCUCAAUUCUGCAUCCCGACUGCCUGCUCCUGCUGUAGCCCCCUACACAGCAUUCACAUAAUCCUUGUUAUUUAUUAACAGAGCCAUAUAUUUCCUGCCAAGUACGUUUCCCCUUCACACAGCUCAUGGGGCCAUUCAGCUCUUUGCCAAGCAGACCUUUCAAACACAGAGUGUUAAAAGUAAAAGGGCCCUUGUAGUUGUGCAGUGUUGUGAGGAGAAAUGUUUCUUCCCUGGCACGGGUUGUACCCCAGGUACAGCUCCAGCCUUACUCAUGGGGAGCAUAGGGAUAUUGCUGCUAUUAUCCCAGGGCACAGGGAGCAGGGUAGGGACACAGGUCCAUUCCCAGGAGGACAACUUGAUGGCCUGGAUGUGGCAGGGCACAGUCCAUCCUUAUCAGUUGGGAGACAACAGGGAUUUAGACCUUGGCUCAUCACACUGGAUGAUUCUUGAUUUUGCAGGAGACAUUGCUCAGCUCUGAGGAGUCCCUGCUCUUGGAUCUAAAAUGGCUCUGGAGGAAAGGCCACAAGCUGGCAUGAAGUGCUCCACAAAACUCAAAACUCCAGGCACUGCUCACCUGUAAGCCCUCACACAACAGCAGCUCAGCCCUUGCAGAAAGGGAUUCCUUCCCCAUAAAACUCUCCAGUAAAAAUCAACAACCUAAAAAGCCCUUACAGACACAGGAACCUCAGCAGGACCCACCAGGCUGCUUCCAUUGCGCAUGGAGAGCAGGAGGCAAACGGCACUUUGAUUAUCAGUCAUCUUAUUAGGCUUGCAAUCAGGAGCAGGGAGGGGCUUUUCAGUAGCACUGGAUGGCCUGGCAAGCACCACUGGUGCUGAAAGAUGAAGGGACUUUUGCUCCCCAGCCAGCCAGCAACUUCAAAGCCUUUUUCAUUCACUUGCUGUUACGGCAGUACACACACACACACAACUGCUGUUAAGGUAUCACCAGCCCUGGCGGAGGUCAGAGCUGCCUGACUCAGGCUACAACUGCAAACACAGGGCAGACAGCUUUCUGAAAGGGUUUUUAUCUACACACAACUAAUGCUCUGUGCCCAACAGAAAUGCUGCAGAAAGGACCAGGAGAGAUUUUGUGCAGCACGUUAUGCAAGAGGUCGGGUGAGAUUACAGUAAACCAUUUCCAGCUGCCUGCAUUUCAGUCAGAAGAUGCCAAUUUGAGGGGAAGUACAAAUUUGGGAUGAAAUUAUAUCAAAAUUGAUCUACUGUAAAAAAUGUUUUAGGUCUAGGAUAGAAAGUCAUGUUUCUCAGAACAGCCACAGUCCAGAUCAGAAAAGUCUCAUUGCAAGCCCUGUAAUAAAUCAGUGACAAUAAGAGUUACAUAUGUUCUCACAGCUCCAAUGCACACACAGAUGCACCUGCACAGCUUUUCUCCCUUCAUGCCCUGAGGAAUAUUUAUUAUAAAAAUAAUAAUAAAGAGCUCCAAGAAGUGAGACUGGGAGAGCAUCACCUCAAACUAACUUGGCUGGUGACAACCAGCUUCCCAUCCACCCCAGUGAUCUCCCUCCCACAGAAGAAGCUGGUGCACCUUUCUGUCUCUUUAAGAUUUUUUCCUUGCCAAAACAUCACCUAACUCCAAAAUACAAUGAUAAAACUGGAAAGUUUUCUUGUGAUAAGAGAAUCCAAAUGAUCCCUUUUUCCUUUAGGAUCUAAGAAAGAUGUUUCUCACUUCCAAAAGUUUCAGGAUCAAACUCUUUAGUGGCUUUUAUAGGGGAGUUCCCUGCAGUAUCAAGCCCCAGUUAAGGUAUGAUGCAACAGGUAAGUGCAAGUCUCCAAAGGAGAAAGGGUGAAUUGUGAGGAAGAGCACUAUUAUAAUUUUGUACCAUGAGAUUAACAGAAUAAAAAAGCAAAACACGUUAAAACUCUUCUUAGGUCGGUUGUUGUUUGUUAGAUUUUCCCUGAAGUACUAACAAGAAGAGAAAUGAAGAUACUUAGUCAUGAGGUUUAAGCCCAUGGUUCCCUUUAAAAAGAAUAUUCACUGUCCUCUGCUCUCAGCAGAUUUUCGUUGAGCAAUUGAAAGAUGCUGGUUUCAAAGCCAGGACUCAGCCCGGUUAAUUGUUACACCUCUUUGUGUUGCCUUUUCUUUCAACGAGAACCAGCUAAAGGUUUGCAGGAAGGAGCCUCGGGGCUGCAACAGAUGUCAUGAGCCACUUCCUACAAAUUAGAAAAGGAAAGUAACCCCCUCAGGUUAAUUAUGGGGAGAGGCCACACACAGAGCUGUGUAAUGAGCCUGUGGGAUGGAGAGAAGGCAACUGCUUCAUAUUGGAUUUCAAGAGACAGAGCAUGAAAUCCCUGGUGCUGACUACAUGCUUUCACAGGGCCAGAGCAAUGCCUCCUGCCCGGGGAGGACACAAGUCCUGCCGGCUGGGGCAGGCAGCAGAGGUAAGGGAGGAAAAUGACAUUGCUCAGCCACCCUCUGAGGACGGCUCUCCGCGUUCCUGCCCUCCCGAGGCUGCCACAGCAAAGGGGACUUUGCACCUGCCUCCCUAUUUACACAGGUGCAAGGGAGUUAGAGAGCCAUAGCCUAAGGACCAAAGUGUAAAGACAGGGACUUGGCUGACCUGGAUGUUGUUGUUUUCCUGGUGGGAUGAAUAGGCCAAAGUCCUUUCAUCUCUCUCUGCCUCAUUUCCCCAUCUAUAUAAUGGAGAUGGUGGUAUUUAUCUUUUUCUUUUUCUUUUCUUUCUUUUUUUUUUUUUUUUUUAAUGAAGUGGCUAUAUUUUCACGAAAGGAAAGCACCAGAACAAUCCUAGCUAACAUCAUUACCAAACAGCUCUGUAGCAGCACAGGUUAUGCCUUUUUUCUCUCUUCUUUUCCACCACCCCCCACCCCAACAGGGUGGUGGGAGCACAUCUCGCUUUAUAAAGCUGUUUUCUUAGGUAUUGAGUCACUUUUAAACGUCACAGAUCUUGUUUAAAGUAAAUUUGUGCAGCUAAUCAAUUGUAACUCGGCCUUGAAUGUUAGCUGAAGAAAUCAGCCCCACGUUUCCUUCCACGAAAAUAUACAUUUAUGGUCAGGUUAGCAUGACCUGACAACAAAACCAGCAAGGACAAAAACAACCCUGAAUGCGCCAGCUAGAGUGCUAAAAGAUUUAUUUUAGUGGGUGGGAAAUAGCUUGAUGUUUAUUUAAACUAUGAUUUGCAGACAGGGCCAGGGGUUGUUUAAGUGACAGUUACUGGGUUCGUCUACAAAAAAGGAGAAUCCUGGCAAAAAACUGAGCUAGAGCUUCACAUGGGAAGGCAUUGCUGUUACCAGAGGAGAGGUCACUGGGACCCAGGACACCCUGCACAGGCAUAGCUGAACCUCCUACUGCCAGGAUGGCCUCGAGUCCUGAAAAAGUAGGGGUAAGUAACUGUGGGCUUCAAGGAACUCAUGCAGGGGCCAGGAGGAAUGGAGAAGGUCAACAUUUUCAGGGCAAGAGGGACACUUUGUUGACAUUCCAUUUUGUGGGGGAAAAUAAAAUGAAACAUUUUGGGUUUGUUCCAGUGCAGAACAGUAGGGUAUUUUUGGUCUCAGAAAAGCAAUGGAAGAUAAAUCUGCCAUCCUUUGGGCAGCCAUAAUAACAGCUCCUCCUGUAGCACCCUCCCAGUUGGGUGCACAUCACCUCUGACACUUUUUUUGAUUGUGCUAAAAAAGGAGGCUAAGAGGCAAAAUUUGAAUCAUUUCAAAUCUCUCAUAAAGCAUGACCAGUGCAGAAUAAUACACAGAGCCCUCGCUGACAAAAGCACUGAGCACUGCUUUGUGGCAGUGCAUUUUCAUCAACAGCUCUAUCUUCCAAGUGCACAGGAGGAUAUUCACACUAAAAAUGACUACUGGUCAAUGAAUGUUAGAUGUCUUCCAAUUUUUCCACACCCAGAAAUCUGAUCUCUGGACUUGAACUGACAGUUUGCAUGUCAUCUUACUUCCCACUUCUUCGAAAAGAAGGCAUGCCAAAUCCACCCUGGUUUCUACAGGUAGAUUAGAGGCUAAGAAAAACUGGUUUUCUUGAGCAGGAUUAGCUUAAGGUGCUUCUGAGAUAAUCUGUCUGCCUUCCAGGCACUCUCUAAAUACUCAGAGGCACCCAUUUGUCAUCACUGCUGCAUUAUCCCUGCAAAAUGCAUCAUCCUUGCAUGAUGGAGCUACCUGACCUGCAGGGUGGGAGUGUGCAUGCCUCUUACCUUGCGUGUGUAUCUACCAGGGAGGAAAAAAGCAAUUUCUGGUCUGCCUAAAACAAGCUGAACACCAAGACUUAGAUACCUCUCUGCUUAGAUAUUGCAAAGAGACACACUGUGUGAUGAUCACUCUGUCCCAACAGCCCAGGACAGCAUAAGCUGAGUUUCAGGAAUGUGGAUGAUAGAUUCAGAAAAUGACUGUUCAGCAGGGCUGAAGGAGCACUUUCAGUUUCUUGAAGCAGAUAUGAGGGGCACAAACACCACCUGGACAGUUAUCAAUGUCCUGUUAAGAGCAACAGGAUGGCAAGCCAGCCUGGAAAACUAAUAAAAACAGAAGUCCUGCUCAUACUUGUACCAAAUUUUCUUAGGCUCAAAGGGUUUCUCUAAGAUUUGAACAAAUAAUAGGAUCAGAGGGUUUUAAGAUGUUCCCAUCGACUCACAUAAGGGGCUCAAUCCAGCCCCCAGUGCAGCCAGUAAGUUUUUUGAAAAAGAAAUCUCCAACUUAAAUCCAGCUAUUGUGAUUUACACCAGCUGAGGAUCUCUCACCCUGCCUGCAACGGGAACAUGACCAGGCUGCUUGCCAGCACUUCUGGCUUUGCUGUAGUAGGAGUGACGUUCAGGUAUGCGUGACCACUCACCAUCAGAUUUCUUUACAAUGACAAGCUUUGAAGUCAGAGCACUUUGCUCUCCUUCCACAAACCAUUUUCACUCAAAACAAUAACUAUUUAAAUGGGAGCCUCACCAAAGCCAUUUCAGAUUUUUUUUUUUAACUUCUUUGUCAGUGGUAAAAUAUAGUUAAAUCACAUGCAUCAUGGGCUGGAUUUCCCAGCACUAAACUACUUCCAUUUACUUUCAGUGCUGGGAGAGAAGACACCAGUGACUUCACCCAAUAUUACACUGAAACCUAGAAAGAAUAAAAUCGAGCAAAUGACUCUUUUUGCUGAAAAUCUUGUAAAGCCCCUCCCUACAAAACCCACCAAAAGCUGUCUUUUCAUAGCCAGCGGGGCUGCUAGAGGCUUGAAUGUGAUUUGUGGACCUCAUCCUGCUUAUUCAGAGCAAAAGAUAACACCUGCGGGAAGCAGGCGAAAGGUUAAAACCUGGUACCUCUGUGUUUUCCUAAGUGCAGAGCUUGGCACCAGAACAGAGCCUGGGAACAAUGGCAGGAGCAUUGUGCCUGUUUUCUUUUCCCUUAAAGUAACAUUUUUGCUGCAGUGUCAUCUUUCUGCUCAGCCAAGCAGGCGCUCUGGGUCAAAUCAGCUGCGUGAGCCGUCAGCAGAUUUUUCUGGCCCUCUCAAAAGAUCUUCAGGCAUUGUAUUAAGAAGCCAAAUCGGUGAGAAAACAGGAAAAAAAAAAAAAAAAGUGGACAGACUGCCCACACGUUUUACCGGUCAGGCGCUCGCAUGACUGUGAAAUAAUCAGCAUUCUUUUGGUGAAAUGUAGCAGCUUUAAAGCAGCAAUCUGGCUUCCCUCUCUGGAAAACAGCGUGCUUUCUCGAAAAAGCUAAACCCAGAGUAUUACAGCCUGACAGCUUCAAAAUUCCUCAGACCUCCCACAGGAAUCGCUCACAAAAGAGCAGGCUGGAUGUCAUCCACCCAUCCCAGGGCUGGAUGUCAGGGAAACAGACCCUCUGAUGGAAAACCCUAAGGGAAGGCAUAAUUUCCAUUUACACCAUCUUUUAUGUUUUGGCUAAGCGGCUUGUUUAUAAUUGUUGGAUUUAGGUGAGAAGGGCUUCACCUCUCCUUACAGUUCCUGUAAUGCAGCUUUGGGGCCUGUUGGGUCACUUCCCAAACAGAGAAAGCAGGAGAAAUUUUCCUAGAGUUCUUUCACUUGUCUUGGCAGGGAUCCUGCAGCAGACACGGACACAAACAGCACAGAGGACAGUCCCACUUUCACAGCCCUUUGCACAAACCAUACCCAUUCUGGGAGCCACUAUACACCAACUUUGCAGACAGACAAGAGGCACUGAACAAAAUUCAUCACUAUUUGCCAGGAUUUCCGUAAAUCCAUAAAAAAAAGAACCAGCAUUUUUAAACUGAAGUGUCACUUUUAAAAAGAUUUUUUUUAAAAAACACCUUUUCUAUACAAAAUUUCUUCAAGGGCUAUUGCCAAACAAAAGAAAUUGAGGAGUUACAUAUGGCACUUCCACAUAUAAUAGCUACCACAAAUCCCUGUGGUUGUGGCAAGAAUCAACAGAUUGCUUAAAUUUAUGACGACAAAAGUUUAAUUGCUCAUAAUUUUGCCACACAGAACCAUUUGGUCUAAGACUUUCCAAUGCCUGGGACAUAUAACUCCAUUCUUAUGAGAGAAAAAAAAUCGAACAUCUAAUUAGAAAUUCUGUGAUUUCGCAUAUUCACACAUGAGCUGAAUUAAGGCAGAAAAGGACAUCUUCAAUUCUCUGUUUUGCAACCUUACUAAAUUGUUCCAUUUGAUUUUAUGCAUUUGUAAAUUUAUUUAAUUUAUUUAAUGUGAUGGUAAGUGAAUGCUAAUUCCAAGCACUUGGCAAGCAGAGCAGUUGACUCAAUCAUUGCUGCACAUUAAGAAACAGAUUAUGGCCUUAAUUUCUAUUUGAAUAAUACUAGAGGAGUAUCCUCCAAGCUUCCCUGCUGCCCCUUCUCAUGUGAACUUCCUGCAGUCUGGACUAUAGUGAAAGCCAGAUAAAAUCAUUUCUAAAAUGAGAUGGAGGCCUGAAAUGCAAAUCAGGGGAAGAAGUCGUCAGAAAGGGGUCUUCAUGCAGAUUUGAUAGGUUAUCAGGUCUUUACCUGCCUGGUAAUCAAUCCUGGUGCCUGACCAGCUCCAGGGGAUGGACCCAGGAGGAGCACAAAGGCUCUUUAUUCCCUCUGCUCACGUUGGGACUCUGCUAUAAAGCCUGGUUCGCUGGGAAGGGCAAGGUGGAGCUGGACAUGGGGCCUAUCAGGUGACGUUAAUGUUCAGUCAAGAUAUGGACCUUGUGUUUGAACGAGACAGACAGUCUUUGAAGAACAUAAUCUGUGUUGCCAACAAUGGCUGGAGUGAAAGGAGCUCGCUCUGGUUACCUCAGAGGAUGGACUGGUAAAGCAAAGUUGGAUUCUUAUCAAGAUGUUGGGUUUGGGUUUUUUUUUAAUCAUUGAUUCAUAUGGUAAUGGCUGUGAAUACACAAUGCAAGGUCUUCAAAGGGAGGAAACAUAAGAAGGGUAUAGUUUCACCCAGUUCACCUUAAGGUUCCACACUUUUGUCCUGUGUGAUUUUUUUAAAAUACAUAAACCCUGCUAUCCUUGCAGGGACAAACUCUAUCCGUGUCUUUUCAGAUUCCCUCCAAUUCCAGUUGGAUACAGGCUCGCCAGCAGCAGUGAGAAGCAGCAGCUCUCCUGGGGUGCUGUGUUUCUCAGAUUGACCUUAGCUCUGUUUACCCUUGCUUCCAAAGUUUGGGCCAACAUCUGCUAAAUAAACAGCUGAGUGCUGAGGCGAUGGGGACAGGGAGGAGGAGUUAAAAACAAAUGGGAUUGUGCUGAAAUGAGAGAGUAGUGAGGCAAACUUGAGAGAUUGUUGUGGGUCAGCACACAGAGGCAAAUCCCUUUGAAUCAACAGAAAACCUUCUUCUGACAUCUCUGACCCAGUUUUCAAGCACGCAGAACAGAGCUAUCCAAAGUUCAUGUUUCCAGUUCAGACUGAAGCACUCUCCUAAAUACCCAGACAAGCCACACAGUUCUUUCUUCUGUUUCAUCUCCAUUUCCAGCACACUGGAAAUACCCAGGUACUUCAGCCAUGCAAGUAGGAGAGUAGCUUAUAUUUAAGACAGCAAAAUCUCUUUUCUCUUCCACCAAAAUUCAAAUUAAUCAUCCCAACAGCACCCAGCUGACAAGCAUAGGGGAUAGAAAGGUGUUUUCAAAGCUGAUGGUGUGUUCAUCCCAACACUUUACAGUUUAGAGCCUCACUACCACCAACCACGGCAUUUCACAAGCCAUCACAGCUCCUCCCUGAUACAAGAGGGGUCUGACUGUCACACUCAGGACUUUAGGUCUGUGCAUUGGCCUGCACAACAUCCCUGGAACAGGCUGCCUAGGGAAGUGCUGGAAUCACCAUCCCUGGAAGUGUGCAAAAGGCAUGUGGAUGUGGGGCCAUGGUUUAGUGGUGAACACAGCAGUGCUGGGUGAACAGCUGGACUCUGAUCCUGGCUGUCUUUUACAUCCAUAACAAUUCUAUGGUUCUAUCCUGUGCUUGUGCUUCCUCAGGUUUUUGGCAAGGGCACACUAAACAAAGCUCAGCACUCCUGGCAAAUUGAGGAUGCUCAGCACGGAUCAGAUGUGUAGGUAUUGUCUCACAUCUACAGCCUCCCUAAUCUGAAGGUCCCUCCAGCUAGGCCACCAUCCAGGCACUAAUCCUCCCCUUAUUUACCAGCAAAGUGCUCCUUAAAUAACUGUAUCCUCAGUAUUCAGCAUAUGCCUUUAAAGCAUCAGGAUUAACAUCCCUUAAAAAAAAAUAAAAACUGGGUAAUAUGAGAGCAGAUAUUCCCAUUAUCCACAUAUCUACAUAUUGUUUAAUCCCAACCAGCAUGUGGUCCUGGUAUUAUCUCAUGGCAGUAUGUUCCAGAGCUUAUCUGGAAUAACUUUGCUUUUCAUCACCUUCAAAGUUCCCUGAAUAUUUCCUUGUUUGUCUGUCAGGCUGCUUUUGGCUUUCUGGACAGCUCUGUUCAUACUCAAGGCAUCUGAGAAACAGAUUCCAGCUACUCUAAGACACUGAAAAGAAAAAGAAGGCAAAUGAGGCUCUCCUGGACAGCAAGCUAUCCAAUACACAGCAUUAGUGAAACCAGCCCAGCGUCAUCUGAGGUGAGCACAAGACCAACAAAACAAUCUCUGUACCAAGCAGGGCUUUACAGCAGAUCUUGAAGGCCUGAGCAAUCCAAGAUGGCUAAUUAGCCAAGAAAAUUAACCAAAAAAAUGCAACAUUUCUUAAUCAAAGGUGCCAGCUAACCAUGAAUCUGCUUUUGGUAUGAAAACUGAUUGUCUGCACAAGAAAAGGUGAUGCUGAGUUUGAACAAAGCAUCAUUGGCUCAAGACAGCCACACAGAGAAAUUGGGUGGAACUCAUUUUGUCUCACAGUACCUCACUGAGCCAUGCUGGAAAUUAUCAGUGAGCAUGAAGAGAUGGGGACCAGUAAGGUGAACUGGUCAGUGCCUGGGCAGGAAACCAGCCAGACCAGUGAAAAAAGUCAACCUCUAGGACCUUCCCAAGCAGAGUUCUUCCAAAAGGACCCAGAGGGUAAACCUUGCUAAAGGAAAUCACCAGCACUUUUGGCAGAGCAUAACACAGUUUUUGAAGGCUGGAAGACUCUGUCGCAGGGUCCCCAACCCAGUCACCACUCCAGCAGCAGAGCUGGAUGCCACAUCUCUCCAGAGAAAACUGAUUACAGGCAACCUGCCAUUUUCCACUGGAAGUAUUUCUAUGAAGCAUCAUUAUCCUUGUUUCACACCUGGGAAACUCAUCCCCACGCUGGUGAUGGCAAAGACAAAAGGGAUUUCUCUCAGAUCAGUCAGGAAAGAGACUGAUUCACAAAGAUUUAAGUGAUAGUUUGUUAAGUGUCAGAUGAGAACAGUAACCAUCAGUCUUUCUCUCCCUAUGGUUACACCCUUGAACUCCUCUGCAGGAAUGGAUCUCAGGUACAUCAAUCAUACAUUGGGAUAUUUAAGGGUUAAACUGGGAUUACAAAGCAUUUUCUCUGGUGAUGGUAAUGCAUUCAAAAUCUAUUACAAAUAAAAUUUUUAAAAUUACAAAGGAAGCUCUACUGAUAACUGUCACAGUGAAAACUCCCUGAACUACAUUUGCAAUCAAAAGCAGCAAAAUAGAAAUAUAAGCCUGUUCAGUUCACCUUUAAAAGAAGAAAACUAGAAGAAGGAGGGAGCUGAAAUCUGUGUCACUCGAUAGCUCCUGGCAAACUCUUCCUGGCUUUAUGGUUAUGCUUCUAAAUCCUCUCAAUUUAAUGGUGUAGGUUUCCCUAUUUUUAGAUCACAAAUUAAGGCAGCUCUGCUUUUUCCCCUGCAUUAUUUUCUAACCAGACCACGGUUAUUAAACUUAGCAGGCAAAGAAAUGAGAGCGCCCUUUAAAUUAAAAAAAAAACCAAAAAACCACCGUACAAGCAGCAUAACCACAUGGCUGGAGAAAGAAAAUCACUCCCAGGGGCUGACAGCCCUCUUGAGCCUCCACUUCAGUGGCCCACGAGGCAGCUCUGCCGCUGGGACUCCCGAGGCCCCAGAGGUGCCAGGACAUUUGGCGACCAACGGAGGAGCUGCCUUGGCACAAGGCUCCCUCCAGCACAGGUCACCCACAGGUCUGCAGCGAGUGUCAGCCCACAACACUUGGGCUGGACUGAGACCAAGCAACCCCCAGUUUAAUGCAAUAAUCGGGGGGAAUUUGGCACCUUGCUGCCUCCUCUCUGCCCGGCUGCAGCAGGGCUAGGGGCGUCUGCACCGGGAGGGCACGCUGUCCUCCAGAUUGUUUUGAAACAACAAGAAAAAAGCUUAUCAUAAUCCUCCUGGCAAUUAGAGCCUGGCUGGCUGCAAAGUGCAAUGCAUUUAUCAAAACCUCCUUUGAAGGCGCUGAGGGAAGUGAAUUUGAAGCUGUUGGGGACUGCAGGAGUAAGAGAGCCCAGCUGCUCCCGGGGAGCCUGAACUGAGGCGAGGGGACAGAGGGAGGAGGGAGAAUUUCCUUGUCUGGGACAUGCACGUUUUCCAUCAGCCUGUGUGUGUGAGGAUAAAUAACAUUUUAUCUCUCUCCCCGUGUCUCUUGAAAGCUCAGCCGAUUACAGCUGGCACGCUUAGGGGGCUCUUCCUGCAAACUUUGCCAAAAAAUUAACCACUCCUGGAGCCAUAAAUCAUCCCAAACCAGGUUUCUUCUGCCCUCAUCCCCAUCAAUGUGAGAAAAACCCAAACUUUAAAAAAAAAAAAAAAAAAAAAGUUGCCAGUUUCAUGAAUGUUAGGAGGCCAAAACUGGCAUCUUUUGCCUUUUUUAAACCAAGCAUCAGCAUGAGCUUCCCAGAGGCAAUUCAUACACAGCAACAUGUUGAAGGGGCUCACCUGCCCAUGCCAUACAGUGAGGCCCUGGUUCAGCAGCAUGAGGCAGGAUUAAAACAGAGUAGUCUUGUAAAAAUCAUCAAAAGUAACAGGCUGCAGCACAGUUCCCAGAACCUCUUCCAGCACAGACGGGGUACUGGCAUCUGAUUAAAUUCUCUAGACCCCUUUAAUUUCCAACCUAGUGCCCACUGCUCUCUCUGUAGCUCUACAGACCUCUGGACAUGUUUUCCCCCCAUCCCUGCUAUUCACAAUUACAAGUCUCCUUAGAGAGCAGGGGGAGGAAAAUUGCUCAUGAUGCUCUCUCUUCUCAUCUGCUUCUGUCCAGAGUGGGCAUGCAACCCCUGGCCACAGGACAGCCUCCUUCUCUUGGAGCAAGACCGUCUUCCCUCUAAGCACAAACCAAAUCCCAGGAUUUUUAUGCUGUAAUGUAAGUUCUGUCCCUCCAGCAGGUAGAGAGGUGGUUCAGGACACGAAAUUCCUGCUUUACUGGGAAGGAGCUGAGUCCAGCCCAUGGCGCAGCCACUCAAAACUGCUACAGCUCUUUGCAGAAGCUUGUUGCCAUACCCAAGCCCUCAGCACAAAAAAGGGCAGCAGAAUGGGGAGUGAAAGCCAUGGGAGAAUGGGAAUAAGCAGAUGGGAAGGUAAAGAUGCAUUAAAGAUUAAUUAAAUAGUCCUGAGCAAACUGUCUGCACAGAGCAGGACCCCUGUGUCAUCUCCCUGCAUCUCCACAUCCCCUUCCAAAACAGCCUUCCUCCUCUGCAAGGAUUUGUUCAUCCAAAACCACGGAACAAUCGUUGCCUUGAGUAUUAUUUUAAUCAUUCCCAAAUGCCUUUCCCUUGGAGGAUUCCUGCUGAGAUCCCAAGCUGAGUUCUCCACCAGAGUAAAUCAGCCCAGCUACUGUAACUGGGCUGCUGAUUUAAAUCUCCUAGAGACCCACCCUCCUCCCAGCCAACUCCACUCCCCGCGCUCACCCCUGCACAAACCUCGUCUAAAAAUCUCCUGGCGAAACCUUGCUGUGCAUCCUCCCCUACACAGGGCUAUUCUUGGGAUUUAAGGAAUGUGGACAUGAUGUUGCUAUGAAAAGGGGCACUGUACUGAAUUCAUACACGGGGAGGUUGCAGGGAUGAGAGCCGGGUGUAGUGGCCUUACAUCUGUGACAAUGUUACAGGGAUGACAACGGCAAAAAAACUUUGAUCAGUCCCAGAGUACAAACGCAGGUUUAUAUCCUUGCCAUCUGGCACGGUAUCAUGUUAAGAGCUGAGCAGACAACAGUGGCUGCUGCUACACAGUGUACUAAAUACCAAUAAAAGCUGAAUGGAUCUGCAAUAGAGCACACUUUAGAAAUGGCUGUGAAAGGAAAAUCUAGGCCACUAAGUGCUGUUAAAAACAAUGUCCUUAUAUUUUUUUUUCCCUUUGCCUUACUAUUCUCCUCUGACUUGCUUCUGCUCUUGGGAUUCCUCUUCCCUCCGUUUUCCCAGCGCCGGUGGCUGCUCAGAGAGCUAUCAAGUGAAAUGCUGAACCUAAACUAAAGUUUGUGUUCAUUUAACAAGCACUAAAUAUCGGUCAGGAGGGGCAGACUGGCAGCUGCCCUCACAGCUGAGGCCAAUCCCCCUCCAUAAAUGGGGAAGCCCAGCAUCCCCACGAAUGGAGGAGGUGGCUGCAAUAUCCUCUUUCCUGCUUCUUCCUUCCCUACUCAGCACAAAGACAUACAAGACACAGAUUGACCCAGAGACCCAUGGAUAAAACCCUGGACUAGUGUAAUCAUUGGCUUUUGCACUGCUGCAGAGCUUCUUCAGCACAAUCUGCUCCUGUCAUUCCCUGGGCCUUACCCAGAGCAGCUACAAACUCCCAGCUAUUAUCAAUCCACCACUGCUCAGUGGUGAACACUGCUCUGCAAACGUCUCAAAUGCAGAUGUCUCAGCUCAAAUGCCUUUUACUAGAAACUAAGUGACACACUCUGCCCUGCACAUGCCAAAAGCUCAGACACUUACAGGAGUGCCUUACACAUUGAUAUUUAGGCUGCCAAGAGACUGACUGCCCCUCUUUUGGGCAUCAGGGGGAACAAAACCUUAUUUCACUCAUGAGCUCACCAUAGCUCAAGGAUAUUUGCCCAUGUUAGCAGCAAAGACAGCAAGAGACUGGUUCCCAGAAAUCAGUUUCAACACCAAGACCACCACUCCCGCUAUUUAACCUCACAGGCCACAAACCUCAAUCCAAAACAUCUUUCUUCACACCAAGCUGUAUAAAAUAUCUCAGCCACUGAAUCAUCACACAGACAGACACAACACAGAAAUGCCAAGAGGGACUCUCCAGUGAUGCACUGGAGAAAACACCGCGGACAAUGGCACAUUUUCUAAGGAACCCCAUGGGAACUCAUCUCUCGGUUUUGGUAUGCAUUUCCCAUUGAAUUAGUAAGAAUAUUAACCAGCAAUUAGACAGAAGAAAAAUUUAGCCUGGCACUUAGGUCUUAUUGUUACUAAGCUUUCCUAUCAGGAAAUACGAGGGUCUCAGAAGGGAAGCAAUGGAAAUGAUCACUCAAAACAACUGAACAGGCUGCUAGACUAGACACUACAGGCAGCAGUCCUGACCUGGCAGGAAAAGCCAAUAGCCCUAUUCUUCCUCUUUGGCAUCUGUGAUCCUACAAUUGCUCAGUCAUUUCCAUAAAUCCUUCAGCUCCUCUAUUUGGUUUCAUUAUUUUAUGGGCCUUAUUCUCAAAAAGAACUCACUGCCCAUCAUUCAGGCCAGCUUUUCAUCUUCAGUUGCAACUGUGAUCUUCCCAAAUGUGCUCAGCACCCAAAAGGCAUCUUUGGAAAGUCCCAGGGGAGGUGGCAAGGACCUUGCCAAGACUCUGAAGCACUGAGUGCCUAUUUCACGGCUGCCUAACUCUUCAAUGGGAAGAAAUGUUUGCACGAUGCUCUUGUGGAUGUUCACACUGUCAAAAGGGCUAGAUACUGUUUUCCCAAAGUAACUUGACCCAUUUAAAGAACUUCUCCAGGAAAGCCAGUUGAGUAUCUCUGACAUCUGCACUACCACAGACACUCUAGUAUUAACCAUCCCCUUUAUCUCACUAUAUUUUUGCUGAUAGCUGAACUAUGCAGUGCAGUGGUUCUGGCAUCCCAGCAAUGGCUAGUUAUCAGCAGCAAGAAAGCACGAGGUCUGGGAACUCAUUGAAAACAUUCAGAGGCGAUACGUGAGGGACUGGGAGAGAUUAGACAGGGUUUGCUGGGGCUCCAGGAAUUCCUGCAAUUCAGGGGUAACAUGGCAGGAUUUCUUUUUUCCAUGGGACAGCAGCAAGCAGCAAGAUGGAAUUUCCAUUUCCCUUUAAAGCUGUUUUCCCAAAACUGUCACAAAUAUACAGCUUCCCCUGGUUUUUCUCCACUGUUUCAACCACAUGGGGUACCCAGGGCAAGUCCUUGGAGUAACAACCCUAAAGUACACUGGAGAGACUCAACGAGGCUCUCAUUUCACCAGGAGCUAGACUUUGGAGCCUGACUGACAGCAGCCACAGCUGCCUGCCCUGCAAUUCACCACUUAGAAAAGGCUAAUUAGUAUGAGGUAAUUAGUUUCAGGCAAAGAAUAUUUGAAAAAAUAAUGUGUAUGUAAGGUCAGCCAUCCUACAUUUUGUUCAACAUACUUUAUUCUUCUCUGCUGCUGAAAGAGAUCCCAGAAAGAUGAUGUAAGACACCUAAACCAGGCAGCUGCUGGAGACUCAGAGAAUUAAGUGUUAAACAUACUAAAAUGCCUAAAGAUGCUACUUCAACCCUAAAGGCUUCUGAUGUAACAAGCAUAUAAAAUGUGGAAGUUUCAUGGAUGAUGCUUAUUAUCUGAAAAGCUCAUCUCUCUUUCCCAAACGCCUCCACACCUAGGUUCUCGCUUUUCCAGGGGAAAAAAAUAAGGCAACACAGAAGUGAUCCAGCAGAAGACUGAAGUGCUGACAAUGAGGUCUGGCCAGAGCUGUGGCUGAAGUCAUUUGCCACCGGGCUCCUGCCCGGUCAUGGGGCAGCUGUGAAAACAAGGCCACUGGGAAAGCACCACGUGAAGCCAGAGUGGAAAUACCAACACAACCCCAAAGCAAUAGCAGCCAACCUCAACCACAGACACUACAGUGGCAGCUUUCUUGCAUUGUUGUUGUUUUUCCCUAAAAUAGCCUGUAAGAUAAACAGGGGCAGUGAUUAGCUAAGUGCCAUCCUCUCUGAUACGUGCUUGGCCAUUAUCUGCUCCUGACACCUAACAUCUAAUUGCAGUGCAACACCCCAGCAGGACAGCCUGUCCCAGAGGGACUGAACGGACUGACUGGGAGAGUUAAAAAAGCCAGGAAAUGAAAAGGUUGCACUCCAGCAGGGUUAAGAUGUCAGAAUGGGGAUUUCAACAGCAACAGUGUUGGCUACCAACAGGGGUUGGCUACCUCUCAGAAGCACACCCAGAUUCCAAACUUGAGUCUGGUAAGGUUUCCCACCCACAAAAAUAGCCACAUGCUCCCUGUCAACAAGACCUGGGCUAUUCCCUCUUUCCUUCCUGUUUAUAACACAUCUUCUGAAGGAUGUCAGCAGAAUAAACAGCUCUCUGUGCUCCAGAGACAGCCCCUGCCUCGCCAAGUGAAAAAUCUCCACAGAAAAAACAAGAGAGGUGAGGAAGAAUUAUCACUCUCUUGCCACCUUUCUUUUUUUAACUGCUUUAAAAAAAUAAAAUUAAAAAAAAAA